GUGGGAUGUUAGAGAAGGAAUGUGUCGGCAAACCUUCACUGGCCAUGAGUCGGACAUCAACGCCAUCUGUUUCUUCCCCAAUGGCAAUGCAUUUGCAACAGGCUCGGAUGAUGCUACAUGCAGGCUUUUUGAUCUUCGG